AUAGUUUGGUAUAUGUUGGCUGACAGAAAAGUCGCAAUAUGUCCAUAUCUUCAGAGGCGGUUGCUUCUACACUACCACAUACGGGGAAUCAAAGAUAAGCCUUCGUUCAACCUCAGAAUGAUGGGGUUUAUGUCAAAGAAGUUGUAAUGAGAAUUACAACUAUAAUUACACUUCGGCGUAAAGGGAAUGAAAUUAAGGUGUUCAACCUACCCGGAAUCCAAGUAUC